AUUGAACGCUGGCGGCAUGCUUUACACAUGCAAGUCGAACGGUAACAGGCCGCAAGGUGCUGACGAGUGGCGAACGGGUGAGUAAUGCAUCGGAACGUGCCCAGUCGUGGGGGAUAACGCAGCGAAAGCUGUGCUAAUACCGCAUACGAUCUGUGGAUGAAAGCGGGGGACCGUAAGGCCUCGCGCGAUGGGAGCGGCCGAUGUCAGAUUAGGUAGUUGGUGGGGUAAAGGCUCACCAAGCCGACGAUCUGUAGCUGGUCUGAGAGGACGACCAGCCCCACUGGGACUGAGACACGGCCCAGACUCCUACGGGAGGCAGCAGUGGGGAAUUUUGGACAAUGGGCGCAAGCCUGAUCCAGCAAUGCCGCGUGCAGGAAGAAGGCCUUCGGGUUGUAAACUGCUUUUGUACGGAGCGAAAAGGCUCUCUCUAAUACAGGGGGCUCAUGACGGUACCGUAAGAAUAAGCACCGGCUAACUACGUGCCAGCCGCCGCAGUAACAC
rnacentral:rRNA from 1 species